rnacentral:lncRNA from 1 species
AGUGCACCGACGGCAGACGGAACAAGAGGCGGAUACAUGCAUAUGGCCGACGUUGAGAACCCUAACCCCGGAGGCGGCGGCACCGACCUAGCCGUGGCGGCGGAGCCUGAUAACAUAAGCAAGAUCUGGCAACCAUGUGAAGCCCUGUUUAACUGCCUUAUCAUCGUCGUCUCGGUCACCCUCCUGGUGCUCCUCUUCUCUUCCGGCUCUCCUGAUAUCUUCUGGCUCGUCGUGGGGGUACUGGGCCUCGUCUACGGAGCCUGCAGCUGCGCCUUCAGCAUCGACAACACGUGCAUUCGUGGGAACACGCAGGGGAUCGAUCAAUCCCAGAUAUGGCGUUAUGUGUGCACGUAGAGCUGUUGUAAGUUAUUAAGUCUUUUUUUUAGCUCUGGACUAUACUAGUUAGUAGGUUUAAUUCUUGCACUUGAUUGACAAAUUUUGCCUAAUUAAGAAGAUACAGAAGGGAAUUCAUACUAGUAAUAUAUUGUCUCUUUGUUAUUCAUUUGUCUUUACAGCUCAUAAUUAUAAUCUGGUUUUCAUACAACUCAUACAUCGUUUCGUAGCAUGAUGGCUGGUGAUGCCUAUGUUUGGGAAACCAAAAUGUAAAGAAAAGUUGCCAAAACAUGCAAAAGUAAUUGGAAAAAGCUAUCCUUCAACCGGCUGAUGCACGCACAGUGUCCGUCAUCUGUGUAUCCAUCAGAUUGAUCUUGAUCAAGCGCUCGCGCUAGCCACAUGUUUCACGCAGUCGUUUUCCUUUUUGCAACAAGUGUAUUGUUUCAAUAGGUUUCUUCAACAAAGGUUGUGUUUCAGAAGAAAAAAAAAGGAUUCAAUGGUGUUUCUUUUCUCCAGCAAGAAGAUCUAAUUUCAGGUUUCUACAACAGAGGUCCUGUUUUAGAAAGAAGAAGAAAAUGGUUCGACGAUGGAUAUUUUUUCUUCUGCAGCAGGGGUCUUGCUUCAGAAACAUAGCCCCGAGGAGCGCUCAGUGCUAGAGCAUACGAGGACAAGCAUUUGCAACACAACACAUGUUUCAGAAACAUAGGUUCGGUUGCAGAAAUCACCAGAAGAGUGCCCUACGUGAGAGCGCCUCGUCGUUAUGCUGGCAACUACUCGAGUGUCGGGUUAGAGGAAGUGCAGCAACUCUGGAGGCCGACGGUCCUCCAUGGCCGAGGCGCUCAGGCCAUGGCGGGGCAGCGGCGCUGUCUCGAUGGACCUUUGCAAGAAGAUCCUUGUUGCAAAGCCCCUGAGCGCAACAAGCUAGCUGUUGCAAACGUCCUCGGUUGCCUGGAGCGGUAGAUCGGAUGACUGUUUUGGGUGGCAUCCGACGAUUGCUGAGGCGGCCGAUCUAAUCGGUUUAUCAUCCGACGGAUGCGUAGCAUUGUCCAAAGUAAAUUCACAGUAAUCUAUUGUCUCUUAUUCAUUUGUCUUUCUUUCCAACCGAUAAUAAUAAGCAG